UAACUUAUAUCCAUCAUAAAUCAAAUUUAACUCAUAUUCGUAUCAAUUGUAUUUGCCCUAAAAUUUUUCCAGUAUUCACUAUAUUUAAACUUUUUUUCACAAUGUUUUUAGCUGGCAGUCUAAUUUAGACAAUACUUACCUAACAGAGUAAAAUCUAAUCACAGUUUUUAGGAAAGAAGUAUAGUGUUGGCUAUCAAAUGAGCACAAAAUGAGCAUAAAAUUAAAAAUGGCUUGAUGUAGAUUCCGUUACCAUGUAUGUGUUUUUUGAUGUAAUUUUAGUCAUGAUCUUGGCCUGUUGACUUUGGUCUAACUUGAAAAUGUGUUUUAUCAGAAAAAAAAGAAGUACUGUGUUUGAGAAAUGCAUUAUUUCUCCAGUGUUCUGGAAUCUGUUGCUAAUAUAAUUUGAAGUGAACUUUCUUUAGCUUGGCCUCCAGAGUAAUCAGCUAUAGGCAUGUGGAUGGUGAAUACCUAAUAACUGUCCCCCUAGAGGUGACAGAGAGUUGUAUACACAUUGUAAGUCUUGGCAAGGAGACAAGGCUUAUCCAUCCAGAUUUUGCCAAUGAAGACAUAUAAAGAAAAGAGAGGGGGAAAAAAAAUCUAUACUGAAGAAAUGUUACAGCUGCAAAUAUUUUGACAACUUAGAUUUUCCACGACACUUUGGUUUAUUUUAUCCGUUAAUUCAACAGUAUUUACUAGGUCUAUUUAUAAUUAGUCCGAUUUGUAUUUAUGUUUAGUUCAGCUCUAGGCCCUGAACU
rnacentral:lncRNA from 1 species